rnacentral:rRNA from 1 species
UACGUAGGGUGCGAGCGUUGCCCGGAUUUAUUGGGCGUAAGGGCGCGUAGGCGGCCACGCACGUCCGUUGUGAAAUCGCCCGGCUCAACUGGGCGGGGUCAGCGGAUACGGUGUGGCUCGAGCAAGCUAGGGGGGCAAUGGAAUUCCCGGUGUAGUGGUGGAAUGCGUAGAUAUCGGGGAGGAACACCAGUGGCGAAGGCGGUUGCCUGGAGCUUUGCUGACGCUGAUGCGCGAAAGCGUGGGGGA